CACAUGCUCCUUAGAUCCACCUUUGGGAUGUAUCUAUUCUGCCUUGCUGGUAGAUCUCUGCACCCUGUUGUUGGGUUCUCCAGUGGGCUGGCAGGUGACGUUCAUCAAUUUGUGGUUGUACAGUCAAAGGUACUUGAGUCAUUGGCAUGUGAAAGUAAUAUACUUGCACGGUAGCCCCUCAGUUCUGAUGUGAACAACCUGUUUUAUCCAGGCUGUUGCUGCCAUCAGGACUUUGCUGCUAUGUGGACACG